UACGUAGGUGGCAAGCGUUGUCCGGAUUUAUUGGGUUUAAAGGGUGCGUAGGUGGUCUAUUAAGUCAGUGCUGAAAUAUCCCGGCUUAACCGGGAGGGUGGCAUUGAUACUGAUGGACUUGAGUGGAGUCGAGGUAGGCGGAAUUGACGGUGUAGCGGUGAAAUGCUUAGAUAUCGUCAAGAACACCUAUUGCGAAGGCAGCUUACUAGGCUCUAACUGACACUGAUGCACGAAAGUGUGGGGAUCAAACAGG
rnacentral:rRNA from 1 species